rfam:Sporosarcina psychrophila strain DSM 6497, complete genome.
UACUUAUCAAGAGAGACUGAGGGAUAGGCCCGAUGACGUCCAGCAACCCCUUGCGUAAUGUAAGGAAGGUGCUAACUCCUACAGAGUGAAUUUCAUUCUGAAAGAUGAGCU